rnacentral:lncRNA from 1 species
AAAAAACAACCAACUGCUCUAACAUUAUUUUAUUCGAAACCAUUGACGUAUAAAAGAAUAAAAGCUUUUGAAUUGCUCUAGUUAUUGUAAUUCGAAGCACUUGAUAUUAACUUGAAUGAUAUGAAAAUGAUUCGAUUUGUGUAAUUUGAACAAAUAAUUUUGAGUUAUUAGUAGACUGAUAUGAUAGUUUAAUUAACAAUUGCUUGUUGUCCAUGAACUGAAAGUAUUUGUAAUAAUUGUAUGUUGUUCGAUGAAUAAGAUAGCAAAUUUGCGUUUUGCAAAUAACCAUUUUCAAAUUUUUGUUGUGCUAGUUGGCAAUUUUGAUUUUCCACCAUUAAGUUUUGAAGUUUUACGAAACAUUUUAACGUUAAUGAAGCUCGAUUAAUUCCUACUAAGGUAUUUCCCUGCUUUAGUUAAAUGGUAAUUUGUUUCUUUUUUGUCUCACUGCAAUAAUUUUUGUUAUUGCUAUUCUAAAUCAUUAUUGGUGUUGGUUUAUGAUUGCGAAUAUGUUUCAAUUAAAAUACAUUUUAGCCUUUCAAAUACAUGAUAUAAAGAACUUUUAACUUUAUGUGAAUUGAUGGACCCAAAAGCAAGCUUCAUCAUGUUCUAUAGAUGCUUAAUUUUCUUAUUUGUGUUUGGAUGCUUAGAAAAUAAGUGGGAAAAGUAGAGUCGUUUCGAUGAACUCGUCUUCCCUUUGGGUUGUAUUUGCAACAUGUUUAUGGACUUGUUCCAUUUUAUGGACUUUGAGCCCUGCCACCCUUUACAGAUCCAUACCCCUUCCAACUAUUUUUACAAAAGUACCCUUUUGUUGGUCCAACUCGGUUAUGUCUUUUACAUUUAGGAUCCGUGAACCCGUUUUUCCGGAUUCUGGACCUGAAUUUUUUCAUUUUUUUAUUUAAAAAAAUGAAAACAAAGUAAAUCAAAACAAAACAGAACCCGUUUUUCCGGAUUCUGGACCUGAAUUUUUUCAUUUUUUUAUUUAAAAAAAUGAAAACAAAGUAAAUCAAAACAAAACAGAGCACAGAGACCACAACGCCAAGGAAAAACUCUAAUUUUCAAUGCAAAACACACGCUGCCGUUGCAAACAGGCUUAACGGCCGCCCCUUGACACCGCUGCUUUCUGUUACUGCUGCCGCGUGACGCGUGCUGUUUGUUGGAUCGCUCACCACGGUUGUUGCCAGUCAAUCGCCGACUGUGCUUGCUAUUUUGCCAAGCUACGGGUUCACGGCUGUCAUCAAAAGGUACUUACCUUCAGUUCCUCGCUUUAACUGCUGUUUAGAUGAAAUCGAUGAUGGGUUUUUGAUGAUGAUGGUGAAAUUGAUAAACUUAAGCUAAUGAUUUUUCUUACAUGACUUGUAGAUUUGUCUUUGGCUUUGAAUAUUUUAAAUUUCAAGCAGUAACAUUUUACGCUGUACAAAAAUUACACAUUGGUUGAAAAAAUAUUUUUUCAGAAAUACAAAAUGAGUCAGAUACAAUUAUCACAUUAUAUGUACAUAAAUUAGGACGCUUUAGUGCAAAGUUUGGGACUUCUAUUUGAUUAAGUUACUUAUAAGCGAUUUUUGUUGUUUUUGAUGGUUGUAAAG